rnacentral:rRNA from 1 species
AGCGAACGCUGGCGGCAGGCCUAACACAUGCAAGUCGAACGAACCCUUCGGGGUUAGUGGCGGACGGGUGAGUAGCACGUGGGAACGUGCCUUUAGGUUCGGAAUAACUCAGGGAAACUUGUGCUAAUACCGAAUGUGCCCUUCGGGGGAAAGAUUUAUCGCCUUUAGAGCGGCCCGCGUCUGAUUAGCUCGUUGGUGAGGUAAUGGCUCACCAAGGCUACGAUCAGUAGCUGGUCCGGGAGGAUGACCAGCCACAUUGGGACUGAGACACGGCCCAAACUCCUACGGGAGGCAGCAGUGGGGAAUCUUGCGCAAUGGGCGAAAGCCUGACGCAGCCAUGCCGCGUGGAUGAUGAAGGUCUUAGGAUUGUAAAAUCCUUUCACCGGUGAAGAUAAUGACUGUAGCCGGAGAAGAAGCCCCGGCUAACUUCGUGCCAGCCGCCGCCGUAAAAC